GACGAACGCUGGCGGCGUGCUUAACACAUGCAAGUCGAACGGAAAGGCCCUGCUUGCAGGGUACUCGAGUGGCGAACGGGUGAGUAACACGUGGGUGAUCUGCCCUGCACUUCGGGAUAAGCCUGGUAAACUGGGUCUAAUACCGGAUAGGAGCCAUUUUUAGUGUGAUGGUUGGAAAGUUUUUUCGGUGUAGGAUGAGCUCGCGGCCUAUCAGCUUGUUGGUGGGGUAAUGGCCUACCAAGGCGGCGACGGGUAGCCGGCCUGAGAGGGUGGACGGCCACAUUGGGACUGAGAUACGGCCCAGACUCCGACGGGAGGCAGCAGUGGGGAAUAUUGCACAAUGGGCGCAAGCCUGAUGCAGCGACGCCGCGGGGGGGAUGACGGCCUUCGGGUUGGAAACUCCUUUCGCUAGGGACGAAGCUUUUUGUGACGGUACCUAGAGAAGAAGCACCGGCUAACUACGUG
rnacentral:rRNA from 1 species